AUUGCUUCUCAACCUUUUGGCUAAGAUCAAGUGUAGCAUUUGUUCUUAUCAGUUUAAAAGAGUUUUCUGAGCAAAGAACAAUUUGUAAAUCAGGCAGCCUCCUGAGCCAGAGUAGGCUCAAAGAAUCCAGCACAG
rnacentral:snRNA from 1 species